rnacentral:rRNA from 1 species
AACGAACGCUGGCGGCAUGCCUAACACAUGCAAGUCGAACGAGACCUUCGGGUCUAGUGGCGCACGGGUGCGUACCGCGUGGGAACCUGCCCUUAGGUUCGGAAUAACUCCCCGACAGGGGUGCUAAUACCGGAUAAUGUCUUCGGACCAAAGAUUUAUCGCCUUUGGAUGGGCCCGCGUUGGAUUAGCUAGUUGGUAGGGUAAAAGCCUACCAAGUCGACGAUCCAUAGCUGGUCUGAGAGGAUGAUCAGCCACACUGGGACUGAGACACGGCCCAGACUCCUACGGGAGGCAGCAGUGGGGAAUAUUGGACAAUGGGCGAAAGCCUGAUCCAGCAAUGCCGCGUGAGUGAUGAAGGCCUUAGGGUUGUAAAGCUCUUUUACCCGGGAUGAUAAUGACAGUACCGGGAGAAUAAGCUCCGGCUAACUCCGUG